UCAUAUGUUUACCAUUUUAGUUAAGCAGUUUUAAUGCUUUGUUUCUCCAUAUCGCAAAACAGCAUCUGGAUCAAUGGCAGCAGCAGCAGCAGCAGCAGCAGCAAUGUUGACAACAGGAUAGCCCAGGAACGUUCAUGGCAUUCAAACACAGGUGCUUUCUAUGAGAAUUUUGGGUGAAAUUGUCCUGACCAACUGCUGGAGUUACCUAGUCAUCCAAGUAUACCUUUCAAUGGUUCCCCACCAACACUGGCCGCCUUGGAGUUGUCCUGGCAAGUGGGAAAUGUAUGGAUCUUAGUUUCUGGCAUGGACCUUAAGGACUGGUCACACAAGAGACAGAGUGCAAGAUUCCUGAGAGAACAUUUAAGCAUUGAUGACCAGAGAAGGUGGAUAGAGAUGGAGGACAUGCAUACAGGUAGAAAGAGCUGUUCUGGAUAUGGGGAGAACAACUUCACACUAGAGUUUCCCUCCACACAUCCAACGUUCAAGAAACUGCCUUUGCUGGAGAGUGUGGGAAACAGAGUCUGAUCCACCUACUGCAGGGGAAAACCAGGGUAUGACAGUCAUGAGGAGGGUUUUCAGAGGUGACAUUUGGGCAAAGUCAAGUAGGACAAU
rnacentral:lncRNA from 1 species